CCGUGACCGAGUACGAGCGGCACACCCCCGCGCCCAACGUGACCUGCCGGUGGCGCAUUCCCGACCCCGCCGGCCUGCUCGACCGCGUCGUCAUCGUCAAGAAGCCCGACCCCGACCUCUGGAAACGGUCUCCGAGGAGGAACUGCUGCAGGGUGGUGUCGUCGCCCAAGAACGGGACGAAGCUGGACCGGACCAUGGCCGUCGACGUGGGUGUCUGCCGGGACGGCGAGUUCGCCCGAGUUUAGCCAGCCAGCUAGGGGAGCUCUGAGUUAUGCGACACCCCGGCCUGGGCGUGGGCGUGGACCUGGCCGGUGAAGGCGACACCCCGGCCGGCAGCGGGCUGGUGCCCCGCGGGGUACGGGCUGGGCCAGGCGACCCCGGGCGUCUGGUGCGCGGGCGUGGUCGAUCCGGAGUUGCGGCGGCGCGGGGUCCCGGUCCCGGCCGCGGCGGCCGGCAUGGGGUGCCGCGACGGCGGCGUCUGCGACGCUGGCCGGGGCCGGCGAGUGCGUCUCCGCUCGGCGGCGCCGCGCGAGGUAGCACUGCCCCAUGGCCGGGUCCCUGCCUCGGCCUGCCAUGCACGUGCUGAAGAAGGCGUUCGCUGACCAUGCACAUGGUGGGCCUGAGAGGAAAAAAGGAGAGAGAGUGAGGUCUGAGGCUGACUUGUGGGGUUUUUGCAUGCAAAAUGGAGCGCCGGUGCCCCAGCUGCCCCCCAGCUCUUUGGGUUUCGGUUGGUACCGCCGGGCAUAACUUUCGUCAAAUCCGGCGCUUUUUGGACUCGUGGGGGCCUGACUGGAUGAAAAAAUACGCGUCGGCGAUGAAAAAAGCCUCCUGGGGAGCCUCUUGGGGGGGCGGUUGGAGAUGCCCUUACUGGGUCGGCCUGUCGCCGAAGGUUUUUCCUUCCUGUAUAUUACUGAGCCGGCCUGUCGCUGAAGGUUUUUC